rnacentral:rRNA from 1 species
ACGUGGGCAACCUGCCUGUAGACUGGUAUAACUCCGGGAAACCGGAGCUAAUACCGGAUAACACCGAGGACCACAUGGUCCUUGGUUGAAAGAUGGUUUCGGCUAUCACUUACAGAUGGGCCCGCGGCGCAUUAGCUAGUUGGUGAGGUAACGGCUCACCAAGGCGACGAUGCGUAGCCGACCUGAGAGGGUGAUCGGCCACACUGGGACUGACACACGGCCCAGACUCCUACGGGAGGCAGCAGUACUUAAUCUUCCGCAAUGGACGAAAGUCUGACGGAGCAACGCCGCGUGAACGAUGAAGGCUUUCGGGUCGUAAAGUUCUGUUGUCAGGGAAGAACAAGUACCGGAGUAACUGCCGGUACCUUGACAGUACCUGACCACAAUGCCACGGCUAACUACGUGCCAUCAGCCGCGGUAAUACUUAUGUGGCAAGCGUUGUCCUGAAUUAUUGGGCGUACAGCGCGCGCAGGCGGUUCCUUAUUUCUGAUGUGAAAGCCCCCGGCUCAACCGGCGAGGGUCAUUGUACACUGUGGAACUUGAGUGCAGAAGAGAAGAGUGGACUUCCACGUGUAUCGCUGACAUGCGUAGAGAUGUGGAGGA